GCUGGAUUCGCUAGUAAUCGCGCAUCAGCCAUGGCGCGGUGAAUACGUUCCCGGGCCUUGUACACACCGCCCGUCAAGCCAUGGGAGCCGGGAGCGCUUGAAGUGCGUCGCCGCGAGGCGCGCCCUAGAGCGAGACCGGUGACUGGGGCUAAGUCGUAACAAGGUACC
rnacentral:rRNA from 1 species